rnacentral:tRNA from 1 species
GUAGUUGGUUCAAUGGCAGGUGAGUGGAUGGGAGUACAGCAGUACUUUGAUCUUGAUAUGAAUUUCCUUUUCGGCCA